AGCGAACGCUGGCGGCAGGCCUAACACAUGCAAGUCGAACGGAUCCUUCGGGAUUAGUGGCGGACGGGUGAGUAACACGUGGGAACGUGCCCUUUGGUUCGGAACAACUCAGGGAAACUUGAGCUAAUACCGGAUGUGCCCUUCGGGGGAAAGAUUUAUCGCCAUUGGAGCGGCCCGCGUCUGAUUAGCUAGUUGGUGAGGUAAAGGCUCACCAAGGCGACGAUCAGUAGCUGGUCUGAGAGGAUGAUCAGCCACAUUGGGACUGAGACACGGCCCAAACUCCUACGGGAGGCAGCAGUGGGGAAUCUUGCGCAAUGGGCGAAAGCCUGACGCAGCCAUGCCGCGUGAAUGAUGAAGGUCUUAGGAUUGUAAAAUUCUUUCACCGGGGACGAUAAUGACGGUACCCGGAGAAGAAGCCCCGGCUAACUUCGUGCCAGCAGCCGCGGUAAGAC
rnacentral:rRNA from 1 species